AGUGAACGCUGGCGGUAGGCCUAACACAUGCAAGUCGAACGGCAGCACAGUAAGAGCUUGCUCUUACGGGUGGCGAGUGGCGGACGGGUGAGGAAUACAUCGGAAUCUACUUUUUCGUGGGGGAUAACGUAGGGAAACUUACGCUAAUACCGCAUACGACCUACGGGUGAAAGCAGGGGAUCUUCGGACCUUGCGCGAUUGAAUGAGCCGAUGUCGGAUUAGCUAGUUGGCGGGGUAAAGGCCCACCAAGGCGACGAUCCGUAGCUGGUCUGAGAGGAUGAUCAGCCACACUGGAACUGAGACACGGUCCAGAGUCCUACGGGAGGCAGCAGCGGGGAAUAUUGGACAAUGGGCGCAAGCCUGAUCCAGCCAUACCGCGUGGGUGAAGAAGGCCUUCGGGUUGUAAAGCCCUUUUGUUGGGAAAGAAAAGCAGCAGGUUAAUACCCCGCUGUUCUGACGGUACCCAAAGAAUAAGCACCGGCUAACUUCGUG
rnacentral:rRNA from 1 species